CCUACGGGAGGCUGCAGUGGGGAAUAUUGCACAAUGGGCGCAAGCCUGUUGCAGCCAUGCCGCGUGUGUGAAGAAGGCCUUCGGGUUGUAAAACACUUUCAGCGGGGAGGAAGGCGUUAAGGUUAAUAACCUUGUCGAUUGACGUUACCCGCAGAAGAAGCACCGGCUAACUCCGUGCCAGCAGCCGCGGUAAUACGGGAGGGUGCGAGCGUUAAUCGGAAUUACUGGGCGUAAAGCGCACGCAGGCGGUCUGUCAAGUCGGAUGUGAAAUCCCCGGGCUCAACCUGGGAACUGCAUUCGAAACUGGCAGGCUAGAGCCUUGUAGAGGGGGGUAGAAUUCCAGGUGUAGCGGUGAAAUGCGUAGAGAUCUGGAGGAAUACCGGUGGCGAAGGCGGCCCCCUGGACAAAGACUGACGCUCAGGUGCGAAAGCGUGGGGAGCAAACAGGAUUAGAUACCCGUGUAGUC
rnacentral:rRNA from 1 species